rnacentral:rRNA from 1 species
UCUUUUAGCAGGGAAAGAAAGCGAGAGUGACGGUACCUGCAGAAAAAAGCACCGGGCUAACUACGUGCCAGCAGCCGCGGUAAUACGUAGGGUGCAAGCGUUAUCCGGGAAUUAUUGGGCGUAAAGAGCUCGUAGGCGNUCUGUCGCGUCUGCUGUGAAAUCCCGAGGCUCAACCUCGGGCUUGCAGUGGGUACGGGCAGACUAGAGUGCGGUAGGGGAGAUUGGAAUUCCUGGUGUAGCGGUGGAAUGCGCAGAUAUCAGGAGGAACACCGAUGGCGAAGGCAGAUCUCUGGGCCGUAACUGACGCUGAGGAGCGAAAGGGUGGGGAGCAAACAGGCUUAGAUACCCUGGUAGUCCACCCCGUAAACGUUGGGAACUAGUUGUGGGGUCCUUUCCACGGAUUCCGUGACGCAGCUAACGCAUUAAGUUCCCCGCCUGGGGAGUACGGCCGCAAGGCUAAAACUCAAAGGAAUUGACGGGGACCCGCACAAGCGGCGGAGCAUGCGGAUUAAUUCGAUGCAACGCGAAGAACCUUACCAAGGCUUGACAUACACGAGAACGGGCCAGAAAUGGUCAACUCUUUGGACACUCGUGAACAGGUGGUGCAUGGUUGUCGUCAGCUCGUGUCGUGAGAUGUUGGGUUAAGUCCCGCAACGAGCGCAACCCUCGUUCUAUGUUGCCAGCACGUAAUGGUGGGAACUCAUGGGAUACUGCCGGGGUCAACUCGGAGGAAGGUGGGGAUGACGUCAAAUCAUCAUGCCCCUUAUGUCUUGGGCUUCACGCAUGCUACAAUGGCCGGUACAAUGGGCUGCGAUACCGUAAGGUGGAGCGAAUCCCAAAAAGCCGGUCCCAGUUCGGAUUGAGGUCUGCAACUCGACCUCAU